rnacentral:rRNA from 1 species
GGUACAACCCUCCGAAAGGGGGGCUGAUACCGCGUACAUCCCCUGGGGGCAUCCCCGGGGGAGGAAAGCCCUUUUGGGCGGGCGGGGAUGGGCAUGCGGCGCAUUAGGAAGACGGCGGUGUGACGGACCACCGUUCCGACGAUGCGUAGGGGUUCUGAGAGGAAGGCCCCCCACACUGGUACUGAGACACGGACCAGACUCCUACGGGAGGCAGCAGUGAGGAAUAUUGGUCAAUGGCCGGAAGGCUGAACCAGCCAAGCCGCGUGAGGGAGGAAGGCGCAGAGCGUCGCAGACCUCUUUUGCCGGGGGACAAAAGGCCGGACUCGUCCGGUCCUGAGGGUACCCGGAGAAAAAGCAUCGGCUAACUCCGUGCCAGCAGCCGCGGUAAUACGGAGGAUGCGAGCGUUAUCCGGAUUCAUUGGGUUUAAAGGGUGCGCAGGCGGGCCUUUAAGCCGGCGGUGAAAUCGCGGGGCUCAACCCCGCCGAGCCGUCGGAACUGGGGGCCUUGAGUGCGGCGGAGGCAUGCGGAAUGCGCGGUGUAGCGGUGAAAUGCAUAGAUAUCGCGCAGAACCCCGAUUGCGAAGGCAGCGUGCCGUGCCGCCACUGACGCUGAGGCACGAAAGCGCGGGGAUCGAACAGGAUUAGAUACCCUGGUAGUCCGCGCCGUAAACGAUGGAUAAUGGGUGUCCGGGGCGUUCAGGCCCUGGGU